rnacentral:rRNA from 1 species
AGUGCAGACGGUUAUUUAAGCAAGAUGUGAAAGCCCCGGGCUCAACCUGGGAACUGCGUUUUGAACUGGGUAACUAGAGUGUGUCAGAGGGGGGUAGAAUUCCACGUGUAGCAGUGAAAUGCGUAGAGAUGUGGAGGAAUACCGAUGGCGAAGGCAGCCCCCUGGGAUAACACUGACGUUCAUGCUCGAAAGCGUGGGUAGCAAACA